AUACGUAGGGUGCGAGCGUUAAUCGGAAUUACUGGGCGUAAAGCGUGCGCAGGCGGUUAUGUAAGACAGAUGUGAAAUCCCCGGGCUCAACCUGGGAACUGCAUUUGUGACUGCAUGGCUAGAGUACGGUAGAGGGGGAUGGAAUUCCGCGUGUAGCAGUGAAAUGCGUAGAUAUGCGGAGGAACACCGAUGGCGAAGGCAAUCCCCUGGACCUGUACUGACGCUCAUGCACGAAAGCGUGGGGAGCAAACAGGAUUAGAAACCCUUGUAGUCC
rnacentral:rRNA from 1 species